rnacentral:rRNA from 1 species
UACGAAGGGGGCUAGCGUUGUUCGGAAUUACUGGGCGUAAAGCGCGCGCAGGCGGUCUUCCAAGUCAGUGGUGAAAGCCCGGAGCUCAACUCCGGAACUGCCAUUGAAACUGUUGGACUUGAGUACGAGAGAGGUGAGUGGAAUUCCCAGUGUAGAGGUGGAAUUCGUAGAUAUUGGGAAGAACACCGGUGGCGAAGGCGGCUCACUGGCUCGUAACUGACGCUCAGGCGCGACAGCGUGGGGAUCAAACAGG